rnacentral:rRNA from 1 species
AACGUACGCUGGCGGCACGCCUAACACAUGCAAGUCGAACGAAGUAGCAAUACUUAGUGGCAGACGGGUGAGUAACAUGUAGGUAUCUGCCCUUUGGCCUGGAAUAACACGAGGAAACUUGUGCUAAUACCGGAUAAGUCUUUACGGAGAAAGCUUUAUGCACCAUUGGAUGAGCCUGCACUUGAUUAGUUUGUUGGUGGGGUAAUGGCCUACCAAGACUGUGAUCAAUAGCUGAUUUGAGAGGAUGAUCAGCCACAUUGGGACUGAGACACGGCCCAAACUCCUACGGGAGGCAGCAGUGGGGAAUCUUGCACAAUGGAGGAAGCUCUGAUGCAGCGAUGCCGCGUGAGUGAAGAAGGCCCUUGGGUUGUAAAGCUCUUUCGUCGGGGAAGAAAAUGACUGUACCCGAAUAAGAAGGUCCGGCUAACUUCGUGCCAGCAGCCGCGGUAAUACGAAGGGACCUAGCGUAGUUCGGAAUUACUGGGCUUAAAGAGUUCGUAGGUGGUUGAAAAAGUUAGUGGUGAAAUCCCAGAGCUUAACUCUGGAACUGCCAUUAAAACUUUUCAGCUAGAGUAUGAUAGAGGAAAGCAGAAUUUCUAGUGUAGAGGUGAAAUUCGUAGAUAUUAGAAAGAAUACCAAUUGCGAAGGCAGCUUUCUGGAUCAUUACUGACACUGAGGAACGAAAGCAUGGGUAGCGAAGAGGAUUAGAUACCCUCGUAGUCCAUGCCGUAAACGAUGUGUGUUAGACGUUGGAAAUUUAUUUUCAGUGUCGCAGGGAAACCGAUAAACACACCGCCUGGGGAGUACGACCGCAAGGUUAAAACUCAAAUGAAUUGACGGGGACCCGCACAAGUAGUGGAGCAUGGUGGUUUAAUUCGAAGAUACGCGCAGAACCUUACCAACACUUGACAUGUUCGUCGCGAACUCUAAGAGAUUAGAGUUUUCGGUUCGGCCGGACGAAACACAGGUGCUGCAUGGCUGUCGUCAGCUCGUGUCGUGAGAUGUUGGGUUAAGUCCCGCAACGAGCGCAACCCUCACUUUUAGUUGCCAUCAUUAAGUUGGGCACUCUGAAAGAACUGCCAGUGAUAAGCUGGAGGAAGGUGGGGAUGACGUCAAGUCCUCAUGGCCCUUACGUGUUGGGCUACACACGUGCUACAAUGGUAUCUACAACGAAGCAAGACUGCGAAGUUAAGCAAAUCCCUAAAAGAUACCUCAGUUCGGAUUGCACUCUGCAACUCGAGUGCAUGAAGCUGGAAUUACUAGUAAUCGUGGAUCAGCGUGCCACGGUGAAUGCGUUCCCGGGUCU